CCUACGGGGGGCAGCAGUGGGGAAUAUUGCACAAUGGGGGAAACCCUGAUGCAGCGACGCCGCGUGAGUGAAGAAGUAAUUCGUUACGUAAAGCUCUAUCAGCAGGGAAGAAAUACUGACCUUACGGUCAGCAGACGGUACCUGAGUAAGAAGCCACGGCUAACUACGUGCCAGCAGCCGCGGUAAUACGUAGGGGGCAAGCGUUAUCCGGAUUUACUGGGUGUAAAGGGAGCGUAGACGGUGCGCCAAGUCUGGAGUGAAAUGCCGCGGCUUAACUGCGGAACUGCUUUGGAAACUGGCGAACUAGAGUGCGGUAGGGGUAAGCGGAAUUCCUAGUGUAGCGGUGAAAUGCGUAGAUAUUAGGAGGAACACCGGUGGCGAAGGCGGCUUACUGGACCGUAACUGACGUUGAGGCUCGAAAGCGUGGGGAGCAAACAGGAUUAGAUACCCUAGUAGUC
rnacentral:rRNA from 1 species